ensembl:lncRNA
GUUUCCAGAAAAGGCCUAUUUCACUUACCCAUAGAAUUGAAACCAGGGGUUUUAAUUUACACAUAAAAUCAGAACCCAGGCAUUUCCAACAACCCAGGAAACAAAAACCCAGAGUUUCUAGUUACCUAGGUUGUCAAAAACCAGGAUUUUCAUUUACCUAGGUAGUCAGAAACCAGGAUUCUCAAUUCCCUAGGUUAAAAAAAUGACGUAAGCAAGACGACUAAACAACCGGGAGGGACCUUGGUCUUAUCGUUAUCUCGAGGGGGGGGGGGGGGGCAGCCACCCUUAUAACUGGCUUUCUUCAUGGUUCUCUAAAAAUUAAGGCUUUCCUUGCGAGACGAGAAUCUUCACCAUCUGAAUCAUGAGUGCCGGUGCCCGUCGUCAGUCCCCUCUCUCUCCGUUACUGGACCUGGAUCAGGGUUUGGACCUGGAUCUGGACACUCAUUACCAGCUUGUGCAUCUCACUGCUGAUAUCAUGAUGCUACUUAACUAUCUUCGCAGCACCCCCCCUAAGAAUGGAGAUCCGGGGUUCCCCCCUCUUCUUCGGUACAGAAUCUGCCCCACGAACGUGCGUGUUGACGCCUCUACACAGUCAGACCCAGAACCCCCCUCCAGCUUCCAAUCCGAGGAUGAUGAUGUUGUCUUCUCCGAUCCGGGCCCCUG